rnacentral:tmRNA from 1 species
GGGGGCGACUGGCUUCGACGGGAAUACUGAAGCCCAAGGUGCAUGUCGAGGAUAAUAGCUCACCUCGUUAAUAUCGCUAUUAUUUGCUUAUAACUGGCAAAAACAAAAAGGCCCUAGUGGCUGCAAACGAUGCUGUAUUCGCUGCUCGCAAGGUAGCGUAAUCGUCAACUAAACACUGACACAUCGGCGUGAUUAUAUAAGUGCUUAUUCUUAUAUAACGCGCUAAUAGUGAAUAAGCUCGCUGGCUGAAUUGUCUGAUUUCAGUUGGUUAAAAAGUUAAUCAGGCUCAUAGUCUCGUAACCAGGUUGACUGAGGGGACCCGACUAUUAAGCUUAAUCAGUUGACUACACAUGUAGAUCCAAAGGUAGAUGGUUUUCGGACGCGGGUUCAAUUCCCGCCGCCUCCACCA